GGGGAUUACCUCAGUAACGGCGAGUGAAGCGGUAACAGCUCAAAUUUGAAAUCUGGCUCUUUCAGGGUCCGAGUUGUAAUUUGUAGAAGAUGCUUUGGGCAUUGCUCCGGUCUAAGUUCCUUGGAACAGGACGUCAUAGAGGGUGAGAAUCCCGUAUGUGACUGGUGGCAUUUGUCCGUGUAAAGCUCUUUCGACGAGUCGAGUUGUUUGGGAAUGCAGCUCAAAAUGGGUGGUAUAUUUCAUCUAAAGCUAAAUAUUGGCCAGAGACCGAUAGCGCACAAGUAGAGUGAUCGAAAGAUGAAAAGCACUUUGGAAAGAGAGUUAAACAGUACGUGAAAUUGUUGAAAGGGAAGCGCUUGCAACCAGACUUGCAGGUCGUUGAUCAUCCGGGGUUCUCCCCGGUGCACUCGGCGGCUUUCAGGCCAGCAUCGGUUUGAGUGGUGGGAUAAAGGCCUUGGGAAUGUGGCUCCUUUCGGGGAGUGUUAUAGCCCAAGGUGCAAUGCCGCCUAUUCGGACCGAGGACCGCGCUUCGGCUAGGAUGCUGGCGUAAUGGUUGUAAGCGACCCGUCUUGAAACACGGACCAAGGAGUCUAACAUCUAUGCGAGUGUUUGGGUGUCAAACCCAUACGCGUAAUUAACGUGAACGGAGGUAAGAACCCUUAAGGGUGCAUUAUCGACCGAUCCUGAUGUCUUCGGAUGGAUUUGAGUAAGAGCAUAGCUGUUGGGACCCGAAAGAUGGUGAACUAUGCCUGAAUAGGGUGAAGCCAGAGGAAACUCUGGUGGAGGCUCGCAGCGGUUCUGACGUGCAAAUCGAUCGUCAAAUUUGGGUAUAGGGCGAAAAG
rnacentral:rRNA from 1 species